rnacentral:lncRNA from 1 species
CUAAUCCUCAAACUCCAAUUUUUCAAACCUCAACUUGUAAAAAUCUUCAUGUACUUUAAUCUAACUAUUUGAUUGAUCUCAAAAAUUUCAUACACAUUUACAACUAGCACACCAAUACAUUGUAAAAAUUCACUUAUACACAUACUACAAAACUCAAGAAAUCUUUAAAUUUGUAAACUUAUUUUUAAUUCUCAAAUUUUAAUCCCACCAAGAACAUUACUAACUUUGAAAAUCCUUCAAAAUCUUAAUAUUCAUCAAAAAUACAUGAAAAUAAUGCUUGAAAAUCUCUCCUCAAGUCUUUUAUCAAAUCCCACUC